ACAAAGUCUCUGCUCCGCAUGGGCAAUAAUACUGUGAAUUGCAGACACCAACCCCUGUCACAUAUAAGACAACAUAAGAAAUUAUACAUGACAUAAGAAACUAAACAUGACAUAAGACAAUAUACCUUAUGUUGGUAAAAAAUAAUGCCAUAUGCUCUUUGAUUGAAUGAACUAGAAUCUUCCAAAAGAAGGUGUAAGAACCAUCCUCAUGAACCUUUGGUCUCAGCUUCAACAAUUACAUAUGCAAUUGAAAAGAUUUGGUUGUUACAUUCCAUGCCUAGUG
rnacentral:lncRNA from 1 species